rnacentral:sRNA from 1 species
GUCAAUUGCCACACAUUAAAGUGUGUAUACUUGAAAAAUCAAAUUGAUUAGCCUAAGUGAUAGUAGAAUACAUAAUAAUCAAUCGAAGCUUUAAUCAUUAACCUUAAAAUGCUUCACUAGUUUCAAGGUUAAUAAUUAAACAUAUCUGAUAGUAAGAUAAAUGCUAUUAAUAUAUAAAACCUACUAUACAUUGGCGAAAUGAACUUAUCCUUGCUAUUAUCAGG